ensembl:lncRNA
UUUUAAUGUUUCACAGGAGACAUUCCUGGUUUGGAAGGACGUGAGGGUGAGUAAAUGACGGAAUUUUCACUUUUGGUGAACUAUGUGUUCAUUCACUUCCCAAACCUCUUGUCCUAUAAAGCCCAGAUAGUGGAUCAUCACCGAGAGAGGACCUCUACAGCCUGAAAGUCAGCGGAGACCAGGACAACUAGGUGAGCCCCAGAUUCCCUGUAAAGACCUUUUCUCAGACGGCUACCAGAACAAGACCACAGGAACCAGUUGAGUCCUCUGUGCAAUGUGACUUUGCUGCAGCCUGGACUUGAACUGCUGGUAUUGUCUGGCCAGAGGAGAACUGGCCCCCUGGCUGAGCCUGGUUUCUCCCAAGGUUUUUUCUCCAUUCUGUCACCGAUGGAGCUUUGGUUCCUUGCCGCUGUCCCCUCUGGCUUGCUUAGGGCUCGAUACGUACUGGAUCAGGUGACUGCAGUGACCCCUCUGAUCUGGAUACAGACUGGAUCUGGUGGCUACAGUAACCUCAGAAAAAGAAACAAACAGACUAAUGUUAGCAUAGAUGCCAUUCUGCUAAUGAUAUAGCAAGUACAUCGGGUGUUAUGGGAAGUGUUCCCGGUUCCGGUUGUCCUAAUUAAUGCAGCCUAAAAAUCCUUUAACGGAUUUAAAUAUAAGACAUGUGUUAGUGUGUUAUGUGUAUGCCCGGUUAAAGAGAUGGGUCUUCAAUCUAAAUUUAAACUGCAAGAGUGUAUCUGCCUCCUGAACAAUGUUAGGUAGGUUAUUCCAGAGUUUUGGCGCUAAUUAGGAAAAGGAUCUGCAGCCCGCAGUUGAUUUUGAAAUUCUAGAUAUUAUCAAAUUGCUAUUUUUGAGCAUGCAGUGGACGUGGAGGACUAUUAUGCAAUAAGAGCUUGUUCAAAUACUGAGUUGCUAAACCACUCAGGGCCUUAUAAGUAAUAAGAAAGAUUUUAAAAUCUAUACGAUGUUUAAUAGGGAGCCAGUGAAGUGUUGACAGAACCGGUCUAAUAAGGUCAUCCUUCCUGGUUCUAGUAAGAACUCUAGCUGCUGCAUUUUGGACCAGCUGGAGUUUGUUUAUUAAGCGUGCAGAACAACCACCCAAUAAAGCAUUUAUUUUUUUAUAGUCUAUGCAAAAGAAUGUUGUGGUCAAUAGAGUCGAAUACAGCGAUAAGAUCCAGUAGCACUAAUAGAGAGAUACAACCACGAUCAGAUGAUAAGACCAGGUCAUUUGUAACUCUAAUGAGAGCAAUCUCAGUACUAUGAUACAGUCUGAAUCCUGACUGGAAAUCCUAACAGAUACCAUUUUUAUCUAAGAAGGAAUAUAAUUGUGAGGAAAUUACCUUUUCUAGUAUCUAGGACAGAGAUAGGAGAUUCGAGAUCAGUCUGUAAUUAACUAGUUCUUUGGGGUCAAGUUGU